rnacentral:lncRNA from 1 species
AAUAAAACACAACUUUAUUUCAUUUACAAUCAAUGCCUAUAUUUCAUUCCUCUGAUGAACAGAUAGAGGACUGGAGGUACUUGCUGAAAGGAAAGAUAUAACAAAACUCAAUCUACUAUCAGUAUCAUGCAUCAUCUGGAAGGCAAACAUUUAACUCUGAUAUUACAAAAGAGCAUAAUAAAUGAAAGAGAUAGAAAGACAGAAAGGAAUAGGAAUAUGCAAAAUUCAAAAAUAAAUAAAUUUCUUACCUCUUCAGUGUCUCGUAAUCAUCUAUAUCUCUUAUUUGCUCUUGGUUAUACAAAGUACCAUGGUCCAAAGACGCUGCAAAUCAGUUGUAUGGUCAUGCCGUCAUGGUAAUCAUAUCCGUAGAUGUCGUGUUGAACAAAAUGUUUGUGGUUAGGGUACUUUAAAAGCUUUUUUCAUUGCUAGUAACUUUCUGAAUAUGAAGCUUUAAACACAUUACAACCAUAUCUCAUAAUACAUGAAUCACAACCAAUAAACAAAACAAACAAACCAAAUUUAAGUAUCGUUUGGGUUUGUGAAAAUUUUCUUCGUUUAUCAUAUGUAUGCUGGGAAAAGCAGCUGACAUGAUAAUACGAAAUGAACAUGAGUUCAUACAUCACAAAAUGUGAAGAUCAAUAAUACCAUUCUAACACUAAAAUUCAAGUAACAGUAAGAAAAAAUCCAAAUAAUUCAUGAAUCGUGUCUUGAAAGUUUUGAAAUAAUAAAUCUAAUGAUUUAUCCUCUGCACAUUUUCUGCAUUUUUGCUUAAGAGGUGAUAAGUUUUCUCAUAACCUAAACAAUAGGUCCACUAAUUUGAGUAUACUUUCAAAUUCACCUCUCUACUUGAUCCUUUUCAGCUUCUUCCUUCGAAAAUUUGUUUUUUCAAGAUGAAGCUUCCUUUAGCCGCAAGAGGUAGUGUUAAAUUAGGUGUUAGGCCUAACUCACACCCCAAAAGCUAACUCAAAGGGAGGAGGAUUGCCCAAACCUUAUAAGAAGUUCACCCAUCUCAUUAACCAUCGAUAUGGGACUUUUGUCAUGCUUUAACACCCCACCUCACGUGCUUAGCAUCUGGUGCGUGAGCAAUUUUGAUUUUUGGGAGCCCCAACAUCGGGUGAGAUGGGCCCUGCUCUGAUACCAUGUUAAAUUAGGUGUUAGGCCUAACUCACACCCCAAAAGCUAGCUCAAAGGGAGGAGGAUUGUCCAAGCCUUAUAAGGAGUCCACCCAUCUCAUUAACCACCGAUGUGGGACUUUUGUCAUUCUUUAACAGUUAAAUUAGGUCUUUAAGCCUAACUCACACCCCAAAAGCUAGCUCAAAGGGAGGAGGAUUGUCCAAGCCUUAUAAGGAGUCCACCCAUCUCAUUAACCACCGAUGUGGACUUUUGCCAUUCUUUAACAGGUAGGUAACUGAUGGUAGGUGUAGAAAUGGUGUACUAUAUCUGAUUUGUGCCUCCUCUUUGACAAAAAGUCAGCAGUACAGUUUGUAGAAAAAUCAACAAUACACUCGCCUCAAUUAGGAACAUGAAGUAGAAAAUUGAUUAGGAUAAGAAAAUUCAACAUUAAACUAAUCUCCAUUAGAAACAUUCAAUUAGAAAAUUUCAUGAUAAACUAACCAAAAAUCAAAAAUCACUCAAAAAUUGGAAUUAAAAUUGACAACAGAUCUACCUCCAACAGAGACGAAAUCAGGGGAAGGGAUAAGAAUACCAAAAUCUGUAAAAUCAAAACAAAAGAGUGAGAAGAUUAAGAAAACUAAAAACUUAUAAAAAGAAAAGCAGAGAUUUUACCAUAAAUAUUUUCUUGAAAGAGGCAAGAUAAUUGAGAGCUCUAAUUUCCUGAUAUCAGCCUGAAGCAAUAUCAAUUGCUCACACGUGGAAUAAAAGAGCCUCCAAGUGUUAAUACCCAAUCAAAUUGGGCCACAAAGGGCCAAAAAUUAUGAGGCCUCACAAUACAAUUUGAAAUGUCUUUGGUUACCGUACAAUUUGCUGUGUUCGUCCUAGCACAACUCCCACUUCUAAAAAGGUAUAAUAUAAAAUAAAAUAAAAAAUGUUAUAAUGCUCAAUAUUGUUCUAAUUUGCACCAGGUCGCUAAAACAAAUAAAAAUGAAGUAGCUCUCUUUGGUCUAAAUCAGUUUUGCAAGCUCUCAUUUUAAUAAUUAAUAGUGUCGUGAUACAGUAACAUGUUUAUAAUAGGCAGAUAUAAUGUUCUGAAUUAGGAUUUAGUUUUCUCUUCCACGAAGACGUAAAUUAAGUACCACGAAGUUGAUGAUAAACUUAUUUGAAUCUCGAAAUUUGAAAUGUUCCACAUAUAUCCAGGCUUCUUCUUUACUUGCUUAGCUUGAAGAUACAUGGGGAAAUUCGAUUAUAAAAUUAAACAUAUGCAUAAACUUCGACGAAAAAAAUUGAAAGUGGAAAGAACCCGUAAAUCAAACACAUACAAAUAUGUAUGUAGAAAAUCCAAGUAUCCAAACGAACCGAAAGCUGAUACAAAUGUCCAUCAAAUUCCAUUAGCAAUACCUGCAUGCAUUAAUUAAACAAUGAAGAAAGAAGAAUUCAU